rnacentral:snRNA from 1 species
UGACAGUGAACUGGCUGCAACAUCUGUCAGCUGUUUGUUCAGCUGAUCUGGUUCCCUAGGUGGGUGUCCCCUUCCUCCCUGAAUGCUCCAUGUGCUUCUCUCCUGAAGCUGUGUGCUUGGUGAAAGAGGACAACCAUCUAGAUCAGAGGUGUCAAACUUGUAUCAUCA